GACGAACGCUGGCGGCGUGCUUAACACAUGCAAGUCGUACGGUAAGGCCCUUUCGGGGGUACACGAGUGGCGAACGGGUGAGUAACACGUGAGUAACCUGCCCACAACUUUGGGAUAACGCUAGGAAACUGGUGCUAAUACUGGAUAUGUGCUCCUGCUGCAUGGUGGGGGUUGGAAAGCUCCGGCGGUUGUGGAUGGACUCGCGGCCUAUCAGCUUGUUGGUGGGGUAGUGGCCUACCAAGGCGGCGACGGGUAGCCGGCCUGAGAGGGUGACCGGCCACAUUGGGACUGAGAUACGGCCCAGACUCCUACGGGAGGCAGCAGUGGGGAAUAGUGCACAAUGGGCGCAAGCCUGAUGCAGCAACGCCGCGUGCGGGAUGACGGCCUUCGGGUUGGAAACCGCUUUCAGCAGGGACGAAGCUUUUUGUGACGGUACCUGCAGAAGAAGCACCGGCUAACUACGUG
rnacentral:rRNA from 1 species